CCUACGGGUGGCAGCAGUGGGGAAUAUUGGACAAUGGGCGAAAGCCUGAUCCAGCCAUGCCGCGUGUGUGAAGAAGGCCUUCGGGUUGUAAAGCACUUUCAGUGGGGAAGAAAGCCUUGGGGCUAAUACCCUCGAGGAAGGACAUCACCCACAGAAGAAGCACCGGCUAACUCCGUGCCAGCAGCCGCGGUAAUACGGAGGGUGCGAGCGUUAAUCGGAAUUACUGGGCGUAAAGCGCGCGUAGGCGGUCUGAUAAGCCGGUUGUGAAAGCCCCGGGCUCAACCUGGGAACGGCAUCCGGAACUGUCGGGCUAGAGUGCAGUAGAGGAAGGUAGAAUUACCGGUGUAGCGGUGAAAUGCGUAGAGAUCGGGAGGAAUACCAGUGGCGAAGGCAGCCUUCUGGACUGACACUGACGCUGAGGUGCGAAAGCGUGGGUAGCAAACAGGAUUAGAUACCCCUGUAGUC
rnacentral:rRNA from 1 species